GCUAAACGCGAAGAACCUUACCGGGGCUUGACAUCUUUCUGACCGCCUGGGAAACCAGGUCUUCUUCCUUCGGGAAGACGGAAAGACAGGUGGUGCAUGGUUGUCGUCAGCUCGUGUCGUGAGAUGUUGGGUUAAGUCCCACAACGAGCGCAACCCUUGUCCUUAUUUGCCAGCCUGUUUACAGGCGUACUUUAAGGAGACUGCCGUAGAUAAUACGGAGGAAGGUGGGGAUGACGUCAAAUCCUCAUGCCCCUUACGUCCCGGGCUACACACGUGCUACAAUGGUCUGUACAGAGGGUAGCCAAGAAGCAAUUCGGAGCCAAUCCCAAAAAGCAGGCCCCAGUUCGGAUUGGAGGCUGCAACUCGCCUCCAUGAAGUCGGAAUCGCUAGUAAUCGCGGAUCAGCACGCCGCGGUGAAUCCGUUCCCGGGUCUUGUACACACCG
rnacentral:rRNA from 1 species